UAAUGACUUAAUACAUGCUUUGGUCCCUUAACUUAUUUUUGAAUUUCAUUUUGGUCCCUUAACUUUAAUCCGUCUCAAUUUGAUCCCUUAACUUUUUAAUAGAAGGGACUACUUGGGUAAACGGAGGCAAAGUUAUGGGACCAAAUUGAGACGGUUUAAAGUUAAGGGACCAAAAUGAAAUUCAAAAAUAAGUUAAGGGACCCAAGCAUGUAUUAAGCCAAUAA
rnacentral:pre_miRNA from 1 species